UACGGGGGGAGCAAGCGUUGUUCGGAUUUACUGGGCGUAAAGGGCGCGUAGGCGGCCACCGCAAGUCAGUUGUGAAAGCUCUGGGCUUAACCCAGAAAGGUCAGCUGAUACUGCGGGGCUAGAGUGCAGAAGGGGCAACUGGAAUUCUCGGUGUAGCAGUGAAAUGCGUAGAUAUCGAGAGGAACACCAGUGGCGAAGGCGAGUCCCUGGACACUUCCUGACACUGAGGCACGAAAGCUAGGGGAGCAAACAGG
rnacentral:rRNA from 1 species